rnacentral:rRNA from 1 species
AGCUCCAAUAGCGUAUAUUAAAGUUGCUGCAGUUAAAAAGCUCGUAGUUGCAUUUCCGAGGCAAGGGAUUAGUCCGACCUUUGGUGGGUAUUUAAUCCUCUUGCCUCGUCCUUGAGUGGUGCUUCUUGGUAUUAAGUUAUCGAGGAGAUAGCCGCUCAUCGUUUACUGUGAGAAAAUUAGAGUGUUCAAAGCAGGCUUAUGCCGUUGAAUAUAUUAGCAUGGAAUAAUAAGAUAGGACCUCGGUACUAUUUUGUUGGUUUGAGAACCAAGGUAAUGAUGAAUAGGGACAGUUGGGGGUAUUCGUAUUCAGUUGUCAGAGGUGAAAUUCUUGGAUUUCCGGAAGACGAACUACUGCGAAAGCAUUUACCAAGGAUGUUUUCA